AUGAGCUUCAAAGGGAGAUCCAGCCCAACGCAAACCUUUCCGAGUCCACUCACUCAAUCUUUGCUUUGUCUACUCGCAAACUCUAUCCUUCCUUCUUCUUCAACCCGCCGGUGCAAUCUCCGAAACCUCUUUCGCCGCACCGAUUUUUCCUCUGACGCCAUAGCCCCCAUCAUCUUUGUCUACUCACCAUCCUCCACCGCGAACCCUCUCUAUCACUCGCCUCUCUCUAUGGACAACACCGUUGUCAUAGUGUCAAGAUCCCGAACCAUUAUUUAUCGCUUUCAACAGCUUCCUCUCAGCCUCAGCCAAUCAUCACAAUCGAAAUCAAACUCUAGUAUGAAGCUACGAAAAUCAAGGCAAAAUAGCGAAGAGAUGGAGUUUAGGGAUCUUACCAAUCGGAGUAUGACCGACCCUUCUUCAAUGGUUUUGUAA